GACGAACGCUGGCGGCGUGCUUAACACAUGCAAGUCGAACGGAAAGGCCCUUCGGGGUACUCGAGUGGCGAACGGGUGAGUAACACGUGGGUGAUCUGCCCUGCACUUUGGGAUAAGCCUGGGAAACUGGGUCUAAUACCGAAUAUGAUCAUCGGCUUCAUGGUCGGUGGUGGAAAGCUUUUGCGGUGUGGGAUGGGCCCGGGGCCUAUCAGCUUGUUGGUGGGGUAAUGGCCUACCAAGGCGACGACUGGUAGCAGGCCUGAGAGGGUGACCGGCCACACGGCGACUGAGAUACGGCCCAGACUCCUACGGGAGGCAGCAGUGGGGAAUAUUGCACAAUGGGCGCAAGCCUGAUGCAGCGACGCCGCGUGAGGGAUGACGGCCUUCGGGUUGUAAACCUCUUUCAGCACAGACGAAGCGCAAGUGACGGUAUGUGCAGAAGAAGGACCGGCCAACUACGUG
rnacentral:rRNA from 1 species